rnacentral:rRNA from 1 species
UAGGGAAUCUUCCGCAAUGGACGCAAGUCUGACGGAGCAACGCCGCGUGAGUGAAGAAGGAUUUCGGUUCGUAAAACUCUGUUGUUAGAGAAGAACAGCGCAUAGAGUAACUGUUAUGCGUGUGACGGUAUCUAACCAGAAAGCCUCGGCUAACUACGUGCCAGCAGCCGCGGUAAUACGUAGGUGGCAAGCGUUGUCCGGAUUUAUUGGGCGUAAAGCGAGCGCAGGCGGUCAAUUAAGUCUGAUGUGAAAGCCCCCGGCUCAACCGGGGAGGGUCAUUGGAAACUGGUUGACUUGAGUGCAGAAGAGGGGAGUGGAAUUCCAUGUGUAGCGGUGAAAUGCGUAGAUAUAUGGAGGAACACCAGUGGCGAAGGCGACUCUCUGGUCUGUAACUGACGCUGAGGCUCGAAAGCGUGGGUAGCAAACAGG